AGCGAACGCUGGCGGCAGGCCUAACACAUGCAAGUCGAACGAACUCUUCGGAGUUAGUGGCGAACGGGUGAGUAACACGUGGGAACGUGCCUUUAGGUUCGGAAUAACUCAGGGAAACUUGAGCUAAUACCGGAUGUGCCCUUCGGGGGAAAGAUUUAUCGCCUUUAGAGCGGCCCGCGUCUGAUUAGCUAGUUGGUGAGGUAAAGGCUCACCAAGGCGACGAUCAGUAGCUGGUCUGAGAGGAUGAUCAGCCACAUUGGGACUGAGACACGGCCCAAACUCCUACGGGAGGCAGCAGUGGGGAAUCUUGCGCAAUGGGCGAGAGCCUGACGCAGCCAUGCCGCGUGAAUGAUGAAGGUCUUAGGAUUGUAAAAUUCUUUCACCGGGGACGAUAAUGACGGUACCCGGAGAAGAAGCCCCGGCUAACUUCGUG
rnacentral:rRNA from 1 species